GCUAUGAUGCCACUGCUAGCUUGAGUAAAAUCUUAGCUCAGGCGGUGUGCGUUACGACGCGCGUGAAUCAUUAUCAGAAAUCU
rfam:Salmonella enterica subsp. arizonae serovar 62:z4,z23:--, complete genome.